UAGUCGUCGUGCUGCGAAGCCGUUCGUCUGUCCGUCGAACACAUAUUUGGGUGGCCGGUUGAUCAUCGUCGUCUUCGUCGCAGUAGGCGAAUCAUUCCGCAGCUAACCAAGGAAAAUCGCCGGCCCACUUUGUUUUUGUUUACAUUUGCUUCGUCGGUUUCGUUCGUCGCAUGCAGCGUUCUGUGCGGAACUUGGGAGUGUUGCAUGAUACCAGUGCGGCAACAUGUUGCAUGUGAUCAGUGAUGCAUCUCUGCCAUAUAACAGUGAUGAUUUAUGUGGAUUGUUUUGAUUAAUAUUUCUUUUAUUAUAUUUUAAAAUUUCAUUAAUUUCAAUUUCAUUUUUUUCAUAAUGUUAAACUUUGUAUUUAAAAUAGUUAGUGCCAUAUUGAACAUUAUAGGUUCAUUUCUUUUAUCUAGUUAUUCUGUUGUGGAAAACAGAAAAGCCCUCAAACAUCUUACAGGUAGCACUUUUCAACAGAAUUUGCUGUUAAGAUGAAGAUGAAUCGAAGCAACACCUACAAAUUAACAAAAUAUGUGUGUCGACUGUAGUUUUGAUAUUGUAAACAAAAAAAGUAGAAUUUUUUAAGCAGUAAGAAUCCCGCCAGAACAAAACAAAAUGAUCUCAUUCCUGUUGCGCCAACUCGUAGCUGCAACUCCUACACCUGGACAACCCGAAAAAGUUCAUGUCGGACAAGGCAAAAUUAAACCUGUUGAACGUAUAGCAACUACUCCCGACAGUACCCCAAAACGUGUGGGAACACCCGUGGCUAUAAAAGGAAACGCCAUUUCGCAAGACGUGGAGACUUGUCACCAUGCCAAAAAAGCUUUUAGUAGGCUUUCGUUCUCUUCCCAAUCUUCACUCACGACACACGACGCAAGACUCGGUAGAAAUAGAAACUUUUGGCACAUGUAACUUAGGCACACACGUUUUUGCCGUCAUCAGAAGCCGAUGGUGAAGGUCACCGUAAAAAUGAAAGGAUUAAUUAGCGCUUGAGGUCAAGCCACUAUGAAUCCCAAAAGAGAAGUAGAGCCCGACAAAUUUGAUUCGGAGGGUUCGGACCCAAUUGCCCACGAAGACGAUGAUAACAAAGAGGCAGAAAUAUUGUACGAAGAAGUAGGUGUCAGAGCAUUGCUGUGUGUGCAAUCAUUCCAGGUCUCGAUCGAAGUAAUCAACAAGUUUCUUGGUAAGAUCAAUAAUCAAUAAUCUAUCUUUGUAAACUAUAUCUUGACGAUAGGACAAAAGUUAACCAUGGAUUGAUAGUCUGGCGAAAUUCACAGAUAGGCAGAUAUUUUACACUUAAUUACAAAGUUUC